rnacentral:rRNA from 1 species
UACAGAGGUCCCAAGCGUUGUUCGGAUUCACUGGGCGUAAAGGGUGUGUAGGAGGUAUGGUAAGUCGGGUGUGAAAUCCCAUCGCUUAACGAUGGAAUGGCAUUCGAUACUGCCAAACUCGAGGUCUAGAGGGGCAAGCGGAAUUCAUGGUGUAGCAGUGAAAUGCGUAGAUAUCAUGAGGAACACCGGUGGCGAAGGCGGCUUGCUAGAUAGAUCCUGACUCUGAAACACGAAAGCCAGGGGAGCAAACGGG